AUGUCACAUUCAUUCGCGUUACUAACCAGACAUGUGAUCCACACUCCGCACCGGCUGGUGGCGGUAACGCGCCGAUUAUUGAUCAUCUACCGCCGACCAAGUUAAAACAAGACGAAGAAGAAGAAGAAGAAGAAGAAGAGGAGGAAAAGGAAAAGCAGGAAAAGAAGGAGCGUCGCAGAAAGUCUCUAGUUCAACUUUAACAUCUUAAAGAAACAUCCUGUUGGUGUCAAAUCAAAUGGAAGUUGCUUCCCUGGGUCGACCUUUCACCCUCUGAAUGCUCUAUGAUGCUCAAAGAGAUGCACUGAUCACAGGUAAGUCUGGAUUACGCUGUUAAUAAAAUGAUUCAUCUGUAUAAUUGGACUGAAAUCAUUUUACUAUUUAAUAAUCUCCUUUCCUCUCCUUUUUAUCGUCAUUUAUUAUUCCCUAUCUAAUGAAUUAUCAAAUGAUUUUUAGUUCCACCACAAAGCUGUGAAUUGUAGUUUUUAGAGAAGCAUACUGUAUUAUUAGCUGAUCAUCAUAUGAUUAAUUAGACAAAGGAACUUUCUUUUUCUGGUCAAAGGUUUCGGUAUUUCUUGCUAGUUAGCUGCCAAAGAAAAGUUCCGUGUUUACAGCACAGCUCGCUCGAAGCGCUCAAUGUCGGUACGUAAAACGUUCAGUUUCAAUCACCGAAUGAAGCCGUAUGUGGGACAAGAAUCGCGACAUUUAUUUGCUUGCACAAAACACUUGAUCAGCACUCAG